rnacentral:rRNA from 1 species
GACGAACGCUGGCGGCGUGCCUAAUACAUGCAAGUAGAACGCUGAAGCGAGGAGCUUGCUCUUCUUGGAUGAGUUGCGAACGGGUGAGUAACGCGUAGGUAACCUGCCUUGUAGCGGGGGAUAACUAUUGGAAACGAUAUCUAAUACCGCAUAACAAUGGAUGACACAUGUCUUUUAUUUGAAAGGGGCAAUUGCUCCACUACAAGAUGGACCUGCGUUGUAUUAACUAGUAGGUGAUGUAAUGGCUCACCUAGGCGACGAUACAUAGCCUACCUGAGAGGGUGAACGGCCAAACUGGGAAGGAGAAACGGGCCAGACUCCUACGGGAGGCAGCAGUAGGGAAUCUUCGGAAAAGGGGGCAACCCUGACCGAGAAACGCCGAGUGAGUGAAGAAGGUUGUCGGAUCGUAAAGCUCUGUUGUAAGUCAAGAACGGGUGUGAGAGUGGAAAGUUCACACUGUGACGGUAGCUUACCAGAAAGGGACGGCUAACUACGUG